UACGAAGGGGCUAGCGUUGCUCGGAAUCACUGGGCGUAAAGCGCACGUAGGCGGAUCUUUAAGUCAGGGGUGAAAUCCCAAGGCUCAACCUUGGAACUGCCUUUGAUACUGGGGAUCUCGAGUCCGGAAGAGGUUGGUGGAACUGCGAGUGUAGAGGUGAAAUUCGUAGAUAUUCGCAAGAACACCAGUGGCGAAGGCGGCCAACUGGUC
rnacentral:rRNA from 1 species